GCGGGUGUAGCUCAGUGGUAGAGCAUCGGCUUCCCAAGCCGAGGGCCACGGGUUCGACCCCCGCCACCCGCUCCA
rnacentral:tRNA from 1 species